GGAAUUUGAACACGGCCCUCCUGCCAGUGCCAGGCAUGUGAUCACCAGGCUAUGGGUCUGAAUCAGCCUUACAGUUCUGAUGUCUCAAACAAAUGUCAGCACCUUUACCAGCACUGUGACAAGUGGAUUAGACAAGCAAGUGGGCUGGAGAAGGCAUCUGCGUGCAGUCUUCUGAUGUACCUCGAGGACCUGCUUCUGGAGAUACAGGAUCCGAACGCUGCUGAUGCAUUAACGUGCAAGAUUUUAAACUGAGCUCUUCUGCUAUGUGUCAUCCCUGG